rnacentral:rRNA from 1 species
UCUGGUUGAUCCUGCCAGAGGUUACUGCUAUCGAGGUUCGACUAAGCCAUGCGAGUCGAAUGUAGCAAUACAUGGCGAACUGCUCAGUAACACGUGGACAACCUGCCCUUAGGACGGGGAUAAACCCGGGAAACUGGGUAUAAUACCCGAUAGGUCUCGAUUGCUGGAAUGCAUCGAGAUUUAAAGCUCCGGCGCCUAAGGAUGGGUCUGCGGCCUAUCAGGUAGUAGUGGGUGUAGCGUACCUACUAGCCUACGACGGGUACGGGUUGUGAGAGCAAGAGCCCGGAGAUGGAUUCUGAGACACGAAUCCAGGCCCUACGGGGUGCAGCAGGCGCGAAAACUUUACAAUGCUGGCAACAGCGAUAAGGGAACCUCGAGUGCCAGGUUACAAAUCUGGCUGUCGAGAUGCCUAAAAAGCAUUUCAUAGCAAGGGCCGGGCAAGACCGGUGCCAGCCGCCGCGGUAACACCGGCGGCUCGAGUGGUAACCGUUAUUAUUGGGUCUAAAGGGUCUGUAGCCGGCCGGAUAAGUCUCUUGAGAAAUCUGGCAGCGUAACUGUCAGGCUUUCAGGAGAUACUGUCUGGCUCGAGGCCGGGAGAGGUGAGAGGUACUUCAGGGGUAGGGGUGAAAUCUUGUAAUCCUUGAAGGACCACCAGUGGCGAAGGCGUCUCACCAGAACGGACCUGACGGCAAGGGACGAAAGCUAGGGGCACGAACCGGAUUAGAUACCCGGGUAGUCCUAGCCGUAAACGAUACUCGCUAGGUGUCGGCCACGGUGCGACCGUUGUCGGUGCCGUAGGGAAGCCGUGAAGCGAGCCACCUGGGAAGUACGGCCGCAAGGCUGAAACUUAAAGGAAUUGGCGGGGGAGCACCACAACGGGUUGGAGCUUUGCGGGUUUAAUUGGAUUCAACGCCGGGAA